AAAGCUACAACAAAUAACAAUGGUUGCAACCACUCACUAUAGAUUAGCUUUCUGAAUUUCGAUGUGAGGUAGUGUGACAAAUUGACCCAUAUUACCAUAAACACACCUCAAAAUUUUAGUAGUACAGUUGGUUGAUUACAUAAACUUUCGUCUUGUUGAUGAGGUUCGAUUCUAUUGUAGUUCCAUCCCCUGUUUCAUCUUCCCCUCCCCCAAUUAAAAAGAGAAAACAAAAAAAGGGAUUGGAAGAGGGAGGGAAAUUAAGAAGAAGAAAAGGCAACAAGAAAUGGCACGUGUAUUUAUGGAUGAUGUCUGACUUAUGCAAGGUAAGAAUUAAUUUUUGAAGAAUUAAGCAAUUCAAAAUGACAUGAAAUAGGUACUUUUUCCUAGUUUUCCAUUCACUAUAAUUUCAAUAUGACAAUAACCCAGCCAAUUGUGAUGUUACUAUCGGGCUCAGAUUUAGGUUGAACAGCUCUUCUUACCGAAGGUUAUUUUAUUUCUAGGACUCAAAUUUAAAAUUUUUAAUUAUAAGAGUGAAGAAACUUUCAUAAUUCCACUACAUCCUUGAUUAUCGUAAAUCGUAACUGAAAGCACACCAAACAGUUUCAAAAUUUUCUAUCCUAAUUCAGACAUUAGCUCUUCAAUUUUAUAAGUAAAUUUAUAAAUUUAAAAGCCGCAUACAAAUAUUGUGAGUCAUAAUCUCUUGUAAAUCUAUAUGCUUAAAAUCUAUGGAAAUUGCAGUUGAAGAAAAAAAAAUACUAGAUUACUAAUAGUAAUGUUGUAAAAAAAUCUUUAGAAGGAGCAAUAUACUUUUCCCUAUUUUCAUAUGAAAUUGUCAAUUUAAAACAUAUUAAGGGAGUAAGUCAGUAAACUCAACAUGAACAUCAAAUUGGUGUAUUCGUCCUACAUUUUUUGUGUUUUCUUAGGGAUUAUGUCGUCUAGUUUAUUAGAUUGUUUUAUUUUGUUUUAUUAUUUACUUAUUUUUGAGAAAGCUGGUUCCUUCGUGAUUGAAAGUCGAAGAAGUAGGUAUGGAAUAUGUUGUGUUUACCCUUAAAAACGGAUAACAAUUAAAUUUAUACGCGGUUUUAAGUAUAUGUGAAUUGAUUCAACACAAAUAAUCAAGAAUGUUAGAUAAACGAAUUAAAUAUAGAAUAAAUAACCAAACCAAUUGUGAUGUUAUGACCGAGCUCAGAUUUAGGUUGAACAGUAGUUUGCCCUCGAUCGGACCCUUGGUUCGAAGCCAAAUGUAUAUGAAGAACAACAAUAAAAUAAGAACUUUUCAAUAGCUAGAAAGCAGAACAUGAAUUUGUAUUGCAUUGGUUUGCGUGUUACAAUAUGUGUUAUCAAAGAAAACUUCUCCUUUUUAUAGUAGGAGAGUUUCACCCCUAGUACAAGUAUAAAAAGGGUAAAGAUCUUCCUCUUUCGUUAAUUACUGAUCUGUAACCACCAUCGAGCGAGAUCCGCGUCGUGAUAUCCGGUUGGUUCCGGAUAUCACGACCUUCUAUAUGUUGCCUACAACUGUUCAUUGCGCUUCCCGAAGUCCCGGAACUCGUCCCAAGUCUGGGGUACAUCGUUUUAUCUGGUCCAAUAGCGAGCACUCCGUUCGGGCCUCGAUACAAAGAGUUCCCAGCUUCGAUUUUGAUUUUGUAAAUUCAUACUCUUACUUCGUUUGAUCUGCCGAAAAAUCAGGGUGUGCGUUAACCCCGAUUUCAACUUCAAACCUUCAUACUCUUUUUUCACCUUUAAACCUUCAUACUUUUCCUUCGAAUCUUCAUAUUUUCCGGAUCUCGAUGGCUAAAACUUCCAAGUCAGUUCCUCAGUAGGUUGCCCCUUCAUCUUCCCACCCGAUCGCAGAUGCCGAAGUGGCUGCUCCCGAGGUGGCCCCAAAGCACCCCAUGAAAAGCUUUAUACCCGGGGGCUGCUCAAUCGGAGAUGACUUCAAGGUCGAGAAGGAAUCUAGCCAACAAGACUGGGAGUGAGGGAGCAUCGAGAUACAUAUGCUCUGCCACCGAAAAUAUCCUACCCGUAGUCCAAUUGGACUGUAAGUGGGAGGGUAAAGACGUGGUAGUCCCCGGGCCCAACGACGAUAUAACUACUCACGUGAAGGGGUAUCUGAGUAUUUACACUUACCCCUUCACGCUCGCCCCUAUGGAUGCCGUAGUUCUUGCUUUUUGCAAGAGAUAUGAGGUGUGUCUUGGACAAAUUCACCCAUUCUUCUAGAGGAUUGUGAUCCUUUUGCGCCACUUUGUAAACAACACUGUGUCUUGUCACUUCACCCUCGACCACCUACGCCGUUUGUACGGUCCCCUAAUCUUCCGAGGGGGACUUAUCAAGCUCGUCCGUCGAGAAAACAAGGCUCCAUUUUUGAGUAUUUACGAGGACCGAGACCGAGGUUGGCAGGGGCGGUUCGUUCGGGUGAAAACUGAAGACCUGAUUCCCCCCGAGUUUCUGUCGUUCCCCGAGGAGUGGAACGCAUAAUGUAAGUAUCGCCUUUCUUGGGUAUUUCUUCCCUUUUAUUUCUUUUUCUCUUCGUUUGUGUUUAUGGUCGUGCAGCCAUUGCCCGAGUUCCAGAUGCAAUCCCUUGAUUCAAGGAGUGGAUUGAGGGGAUUUGUAAGCAGAUGCCCUACUCUGAGCGCGCAUGUCGCAAGCUUUCGAAAGGCAGAUGGGAGGUCCGUUCUCAUAGUGAGGUUCUUUCCCGAAAUUGUUAUCAUCACGCUUUUAACUUACAUAGUGUUAACUUUUCCCCUUUUCUUACGGGUCUACCUAAGACCACUCUCUUGAUGAUGAUGAGGAUCCGUUGUUGCCUGCCGAGCCCUCCGUCUCAGGACAGCCCGGAGCUGCCGCGAAGGAGGAGAAGAAGAAAAAGAAAAAGUCCUCGGGUUCCCCGGACCCCGAGGGGAAGAGGAAGAAGAGGGAGGCCACCCGGGCUCGGAAGCUCAAGAAGAAUACCAAGUCCAGGGCACCAGACCCUGGCUAUCUCUACCGGCUCAGGGAUUAGCCCGAAGAAGACAACAUCUUCGUCGCCCAUGGAUCGAUCCCCACUGGGGAGUAGGCGACGACCGAGAAAGUGGGUCACGAGGCCGAUCCCCUUCAGGCUCGGGAAGUUGAGGGGGAGAUGGAGGUUGUGACUUCCUAGGAAGCCGCUCCCGUUUCUUAGGAGGAGACCGGUGUCAAUGACAUCAUAGAGACGCCCUCUAUACCGAGUCCAUGCUCGAGGAGGCCCAAGCGGGGCAAAGAAAAAUCAAGUGAGGGAGUGUAGGGUUCAGAUGACCCUCGCAACUCCUUUAUCGAUGGCAUGGACAUGUCCACAUUGGAGGACUUCUCCGGGUUAGGCCACCUAGAGAUCCCGAAGAAAGGACGUUCCCUUGGGAGCUGGCGGGCCGAGUUCGAUCCCAAAACUGGUGAAGCCAUUUCCUGCAUCGAGCGUGGACCCCGGGCACAAGAGAACAGUCGUUCUUACAGUCCCAGAGGAUUCUCGGGUCCUAUCCGCUCCAGUGGGCGUAUCCAGCUACCUCCGAUGCCUGGUGAUGACGUCCAAAUCUACUACUAAAAAGUAAAUGGAUAUAGUCGCAUGUAAUAUAAUUUAUCCAACUAUGAGUCGGGGUCGAAUCCCACAGAGAACAAUAUGUAGGUGAGUAGGCGUGUAAGAGAAUUAUCACUUAUUAUGCUAAGCUAAACACUUAGAAAGGUUUUGAGAAAAUAUUUAUAACUAAUUGCGAAAAUGUAAACUAAUCUAGAAAGAAAGUAAAAUGAUCAAUGGCUACAACAUGAAUGCAUUGGGAAUUACGCUCAAGUAACGAUCCAAUGUAUUUCACGAUUUUACAAAUAUGAGCGAGUUUAUGUUAAUUAGCCUCGGGUAAUAAUCUAUAUUAGCUUCUUCCGAAAACUAAAAGACUUCCUAAGUGAAUUAUCCCUAAAAGAAUUAAGAGAUUAAGCACACCCGAAUAUGGCUACAAGUAGUUCAAUCCUAUCCCUAGGUAGAAUCUAUAAAGUGAGGGUUAACGCCUCAAGUUCUUGUUAAUUAAUCUUUCCCAACCCCAAAUUAUCUUUCCCAAAAUUAAUUCGAAGUAAAUUGGCGAGUCCUAGGGUUAGCUAAUCCCUUUGGAAACAUUAAAGAACAAGAAUAAUUAAAGAAAUAAUAACUCACUUUAUAAUAACUAAAAAUCGUUCAAUACACAAGCACAACAAGGUAUUUAAUUCACACUUUUAAUACGAAUAGUCCCAUAAACAAGAUUAAAGUGUUGGAAAAAAUACUAAACAUUUAGAUAUACAAUACAAAACAAGAAAAUGAAGAAAUGAACAAAAAUGGAUAAGAAAUUCUCAAACAAAAGCUUNNNNNNNNNNNNNNNNNNNNNNNNNNNNNNNNNNNNNNNNNNNNNNNNNNNNNNNNNNNNNNNNNNNNNNNNNNNNNNNNNNNNNNNNNNNNNNNNNNNNNNNNNNNNNNNNNNNNNNNNNNNNNNNNNNNNNNNNNNNNNNNNNNNNNNNNNNNNNNNNNNNNNNNNNNNNNNNNNNNNNNNNNNNNNNNNNNNNNNNNNNNNNNNNNNNNNNNNNNNNNNNNNNNNNNNNNNNNNNNNNNNNNNNNNNNNNNNNNNNNNNNNNNNNNNNNNNGGUCGUGUAUUUAUGGGUUUGGAAUCGAGAAAAUGUGAAAUGCCAAGACUGUUCAUAGCUGAAGCCCGUUGACCGCACUUGCGGAAGGAAUAUUGCAGGUGCGGCUUCGCAGAAGAGGAAUGCUGCACGCAAAAGCGAUCAUAAGUGGGCAUUUGAACUUCCGCAGAAGCAGGUGCAUCCUUUGUGCGCAGAUGCGCCUCCGUGGAUGCAGAUAACAAAACGCGGAUGCUCUCCCAGCUGGAGAUUGAUAUUUCUGCAGAUGCGGCCUUCCACUCGCAUAUGCGAGGUCGCAUAAGCGAACAGCCUUUCGCAGAUGCGGAAUCACUGAAGGAAUUUUACACUUUUUUAACUCUUGUAUUGCUCAAUUCCACUUCAAUUGAAUUCAACUCUCUACAUGACAUCAUUUACCUGAAACUCUAGUAAUACACACCAUAAACAACCUCAUAUUAUAAUUAACGGAUACAAAAACUAAAGAAAAGAGACUAAAAUAAAUGGUAAAAUUACCACUCAUCAACACCCCCAACUUAAAGCUUUUGCUUGUCCUCAAGCAAAUCAAAAACAACAAUUCAAUGAGGUUCUACCAUUUAAAGCACAAGUAGCAUUGCUAUCAUUCACAAAUCACAUUCUCUAAUUAAGCACCAUACUUAUGGAUUUGGUUGGUACUAAUAAUUAGGCGCAAUCAUGUGAAUAUCAACCAAAUAACUCCCUUAUUUAAAACAAUCUCAAGAAUGCAAUGGAGUUUCAACACAAUCAAGUGACAAUGACCAAGCCUCAAGAAAUGACUCAAAAGCACUAGUCUACUACAUAUGCUCAAUUUACACAAUUCUAAAUCUAUCAAUGUCACCAAUCCAUCAUAAUCCAUGUGCCCUCACAAGAAAGAAAGUGUAACGACCCAAUCGGUUGUUUUGCCUUCUAGGACCCCGUUCUCCUAAAUAAGACUCCCCGUAUGUGCUUUUGUUGUUUUAUGACUUGCGGGGAUGGUUAGUUCAGGAAUUGAAAGGGUUCGGGUUGAAAUCGGAACACUUGGUUCCUUAGUUUGGCUUUAAAAGGCAAAGUUUGACUUCGGUCAAUGUGUUGAGUAAGCAACCUUGGAAUUGGGAUUUGACGGUUCCAAUAGGUUCGUAUGAUGAUUUUAGACUUGGGCGUAUAUUUGAAUCGGGUUUUGGACGACCCGAGAGCAUUUAGGCGCUUAAUAGUGAAAGUUGGCUAUUUGAAGGUUUAAAAUUCUUCAAAUAUGGUUUGGAGUAGGUUUUGGAGUAAUCGAGGUCCGUUUGGAAUUCCAAGCCUGGAAUAGUUCCAUAUGGUGAUUUAAGAGUUGCAUGCAAAAUUUGGUAUCAUUUCGAGUAGUUUAAGUAUGUUUCGGCACGUUCGGAGUAAGCUUGAAGAACUUGAAGUUUCAAAGUCGAAUCAAUUUGGGUUGGGGUAUGACUCUUAGUUUUGAUGUUGUUUAAUGUAUUCUGAGAGUUCGAGCAAGUCCGUUUUAUGAUUUUAAAGUUGUUGGUAUGUUCGGACGAGGCCCCGGGGGCCUCGAGUGUUAAUCGGACGAGGCUCGGACCAAGCUUGGACUUAGGUUUUGAUUAAAAAAAAGAGAUUUAACCAUGAAAAUAGCUAUGAAAUUGAGUGAAAAUCAUACAUUUGAGUCAGUGAGGUUAUGGGUAACAACUUUCUUCUAAAAUUUUUGGAAUCCAGGUACGUGGGCCCGAGGAUGAAUUUUAGGAAUUCUUCAAUUGGGAUUGGGUAACCACUUUAAUAGCUAGAAUAUGAACGUUUGAGCUCGUAUUGAUUAUUUUAUAUAACAUUUGACUAGUUUCGAGUCGUUUGGCACCGAGUUGAGGAUUUAAAGCACAGUUGUGGACCAGAAAGUAAGCUUUGAGAUAAGGUAAGUCUCUUGUCUAAUCUUGUAAGAGGGAAUUCUCCCCAUAGGUGAUUUAAAUUAUUAUUAUUUGCUUCUAAUUGUGGGGGAUACAUAUGCAAGAGGUGAUGAGAGUCGGUGCGUAGCUACUAUUCAUGCUAAUGUCCAGGUAGUCUAGGACCCAAAUCAUAGAUUACUUAAAAUGUUGGCACCCUACUUGUUAAUUAAAGUAACUAAAUUACUUAGAAAUUGUUGAUUAAAUUGUGGAAGACCAUUAAUGGAAUUUGUGGUACCUUGUGUAUUAGCCUUUAAUAACAGUUGAGACAAAUACUUAUAAAUUAUUCUCUCUUCUUGUGGAGCGGGUCGAACGCUUCGGCAGUAGAUAAAUGCAUCUAUGGUUCGUGCCGCUUGACCCUCGAUAGUGUAUAUAUUAUUCUGGAUCGGGCCGUACGACCUCGGCAUAAAUUGUGCUUAAUAAUACUUUGUGCCUAACCAUACCUUAUACUAUAUUGUGGUUUAAAAGGUUACGAUUUGUAAAGAAAGUGAUCUAUUUGAGAUUAUUACGAAUUGUGGAAGAACUAUUUGCUCCUGCAUGUUGAUGAGUUAUUAUUAUUACUUACAUUAAUCAUGUUAUUUAGAAAUUUCUUUAUUCAUUUUAUUAACCCAUAGUAAGUGUUGAAGUCGACCCCUCGUCACUACUUAUUCGAGAUUAGACUUGAUACUUACUGGGUACACGUUGUUUAGGUACUCAUGCUACACUUGCUAUACUUUUUGUGCAGGAUCUGAGACAGGUGCAUCAGGCGAUGUGAGACAGAUAUCCCGAGGCCUAGUAGUGAGCUGCUUCCUGAGCCGUUCUGCAGCCCCUAGAGUCUCUCUUUUGUAUUUGUGUUCUGUCUAUUCUAUGUUCAGACAGUAAUUAGAAUUUUGUAUAAUAUACUAGAUACUCAUAUGCUUGUGACACCAGGUCUUGGCACACACACUUGUAGAAUUGUGGUUUUGAACUACUACUUGGUUUUAUUUAUAUAAACCUUUAAUUUUCUUAAA
rnacentral:lncRNA from 1 species